AAAAAUCUUUUUUGUACACUUUAGUGUAGUCAUAAUUUCUCAAAAUUACUACCUAGUUUAUAGUUAGGUAGUAAUAUAUAUUUAUUUUAUUAUCUGAUCGUACACUUU
rnacentral:sRNA from 1 species